UAUUUGUUUCUUGACUUCUAAUCUUCAUUUUGCUUCUACUUUCUAUUGUUUGACCUUGAUCUUCUCUAUAUUUCGUCAAUGCUUGUUGAUCAUCUCAUUCCAUUUCCAUUAAUGCACUUUAAUAUUCUCCUUCUUCUUCUUCUUUUUUUUUUUUUCUUUUUUUGAUCAAUGAGUUAAAGAUUGGUGGUUAGCAUUGAUACAUGGAGGUUUAACCUUCCUUGAUUCAAAUCUAAUUCAUCUUGAUCAUGGAUCAAGUGAGUGGCUUUGCAUUAAGGAAAGGUUGCUUCCUAAUCAUGCAAAGAACCUAAAUCAAUACAAGAUCAUUUCUCAUCUUCUUUUUGGCAUGGCAAGUUGUAGGAGUUUGAUUCACUAAUUAACAUCUCUAACUCGUGUUGUUGCCUACAUUAUUA
rnacentral:lncRNA from 1 species